AAACCAGCACCUCAAGUGGUCAGGAGGAUUAUUGGGCCUAAAGCAUCCGUAGCCUGUUCUGUAAGUUUUCGGUUAAAUCCAUUAGCUCAACUAAUGGGCCGCCGAAAAUACUGUAGAACUAGGGAGUGCGAGAGGUAGACGGUAUUCGGUAGGAAGGGGUAAAAUCCUUUGAUCUAUUGAGGACCACCUGUGGCGAAGGCGGUCUACCAGAACACGUUCGACGGUGAGGGAUGAAAGCUGGGGGAGCAAACCGGAUUAGAAACCCCGGUAGUCC
rnacentral:rRNA from 1 species